UCAGGAUGAACGCUGGCGGCGUGCCUAAUACAUGCAAGUCGAGCGAACAGAUAAGGAGCUUGCUCCUUUGACGUUAGCGGCGGACGGGUGAGUAACACGUGGAUAACCUACCUAUAAGACUGGGAUAACUUCGGGAAACCGGAGCUAAUACCGGAUAACAUAUUGAACCGCAUGGUUCAAUAGUGAAAGGCGGCUUUGCUGUCACUUAUAGAUGGAUCCGCGCCGUAUUAGCUAGUUGGUAAGGUAACGGCUUACCAAGGCAACGAUACGUAGCCGACCUGAGAGGGUGAUCGGCCACACUGGAACUGAGACACGGUCCAGACUCCUACGGGAGGCAGCAGUAGGGAAUCUUCCGCAAUGGGCGAAAGCCUGACGGAGCAACGCCGCGUGAGUGAUGAAGGUCUUCGGAUCGUAAAACUCUGUUAUCAGGGAAGAACAAAUGUGUAAGUAACUGUGCACAUCUUGACGGUACCUGAUCAGAAAGCCACGGCUAACUACGUGCCAGCAGCCGCGGUAAUACGUAGGUGGCAAGCGUUAUCCGGAAUUAUUGGGCGUAAAGCGCGCGUAGGCGGUUUUUUAAGUCUGAUGUGAAAGCCCACGGCUCAACCGUGGAGGGUCAUUGGAAACUGGAAAACUUGAGUGCAGAAGAGGAAAGUGGAAUUCCAUGUGUAGCGGUGAAAUGCGCAGAGAUAUGGAGGAACACCAGUGGCGAAGGCGACUUUCUGGUCUGUAACUGACGCU
rnacentral:rRNA from 1 species